GGCGACGGGACAAUGGCCCCGGGGGCCCGGGGGGCGGAGGGCCCGGCGGCGGAGCCCCCCCGCCGCGGCCGCCCCGGCGGGAGCCUUAAAGGGGAAACGCUCCCGCGGCCUCACCAGCCAGGACCCCUCCCCGCGGUCGGCAUCCCUCCGCUGCGGUGGUCCCAGGGGGCUGGAUCCCUCCCCCCAUGGCACCCUUUCACUAGGGUGGUCGCACAGGGCAGGACCCUGACUGAUGGUCAUCAUUGUCCUCACCAGGGCUGGACCACACCGGGAUUGUUUUCCGCCCAGUGAUCAGCAUUCCCCCACUGCUGUGGUCCCCCUAGGGCUGGACCCCACCAUGCCCCGUGCCAACAUUCCGGGGAUCCUUCCAGAGCAGGCGGACAUGGUCGGGUGUGUUGCCCGUGUGCCACAGCGCGUUGCGAAGCUCGGUCAGGACCCGGUUGAAGAGGGUCAGCUGUGUGACCAGUGCCUUGGUCUGCUCACCUGCCAGCAGCAGAAAGGACAAGGUCAAUCCCAGGACAGACACAGCCCCCAGGGACUGCUCUGCCCACCAGCACUGAUCUGGGAGGACGAGGCAACUGACAGACUGCUCUUCUCCUCCCUGGUUCACACAGGAUCCCUUUCCUCAUAACACAACCCAUGCCUUUUGAUGUACCCCAUGUGGGGCACUGGGACAGCCUGUGGAAGGGUUUCUGCCUCUGUGGAGCCCCAAAUGCCUCAAGCCAGGGAAUGGGGGAAGCAGAGCAGGGACUCACCCAGGAUGGAGGCCAGCACGCUCGUCACUGCAAGGAGAGAGAUGAGAAGUUACCAAAUGCUGCCGUCACAACCAAGCAGCAUCACCUCACACAGCCACUCCUGGUCAGCACGUGAGCAGCACUGGAGCUCCCACCUGUGUAGGGACCCUGGGCCAGGAGAGGCAGGAGCACAGGUAACCCUUUAAGCCCCCAAGCCAUUACCUGCACU